GAAAUGCGAUAAGUAGUGUGAAUUGCAGAAUUCAGUGAAUCAUCGAAUCUUUGAACGCACAUUGCGCCCUUUGGUAUUCCUUAGGGCAUGCCUGUUCGAGCGUCAUCUAAACCUUCAAGCCCUGCUUGGUGUUGGGUGCCUGUCCCGCCUCCGCGCGCGGAUUCACCUCAAAUCCAUUGGCGGCCCCCGCGUCGGCCACGAGCGCAGCAGAAACGCGAACUCGUGAGCCCGUCCGGGCGGCUCCCAGAAGCUACACCCACCCAGUUUGACCUCGGAUCAGGUAGGGAUACCCGCUGAACUUAAGC
rnacentral:misc_RNA from 1 species